GCGCAACCCUUGUUAUUAGUUGCUACCAUUAAGUUGAGCACUCUAAUGAGACUGCCUGGGUAACCAGGAGGAAGGUGGGGAUGACGUCAAAUCAUCAUGCCCCUUAUGUCCAGGGCUACACACGUGCUACAAUGGUAGGUACAAUAAGA
rnacentral:rRNA from 1 species